AACCUAGGACAGAGGCCUCUCCUGGGACGCUGCAAAAAAACAGGAAAUCAUUGGGUGUAUCUGCUGGAAAAAAGUCCUCAGGGGAUCUCGGACUGCAAAUGCACAACAGAAAAUAAAGUGGCCAGUUGCCAAGGACCUGGAGAGGUUUUCCUCUGAAGCAUUACUGAAGAUCCAAAGAAUGCAGUUCUCCAACACCUCUUCCUCUCCAAAUGUCAUGGCUUAAUACCUUGAACAUAAUAGUAAUUACAAUAAAAUGUUACCAUAUGCAAUCAUGGUAACAAUAAAGUAAGCAAUUUGAA